rnacentral:rRNA from 1 species
AGUGAACGCUGGCGGCGUGCUUAACACAUGCAAGCCGAACGAGAACGGAUUAUAGCUUGCUAUAAUUGUCAGCUAAGUGGCGCACGGGUGAGUAAUGUAUAGGUAAUAUGCCUCUUACUAAGGGAUAACAAAUGGAAACGUUUGCUAAUACCUUAUACUCCUUAUUAACAUAAGUUAAUAAGGGAAAGAUUUAUUGGUAAGAGAUUAGCCUGUAUUGUAUCAGUUAGUUGGUGGGGUAAUGGCUUACCAAGACUAUGACACAUAACUGGUUUGAGAGGAUGAUCAGUCACACUGGAACUGAGACACGGUCCAGACUCCUACGGGAGGCAGCAGUGGCGAAUAUUGCACAAUGGAUGAAAGUCUGAUGCAGCAACGCCGCGUGGAGGAUGACACAUUUCGGUACGUAAACUCCUUUUAGAUGAGGAGAUAAUGACGGUAUGAUAUGAAUAAGCACCGGCUAACUCCGUGCCAGCCGCCGCGGUAA